rnacentral:rRNA from 1 species
UACGAAGGGGACUAGCGUUGUUCGGAAUCACUGGGCGUAAAGCGCACGUAGGCGGUUUGUCGCGUCGGGAGUGAAAACCCAGGGCUUAACUCUGGGCUUGCUUUCGAUACGGGCAGACUAGAGGUAUGCAGGGGAGAACGGAAUUCCUGGUGUAGCGGUGAAAUGCGUAGAGACCCGGAGGAACACCAGUGGCGAAGGCGGCUUCCUGGUCUGCAACUGACGCUGUGGCGCGAAAGCUAGGGGAGCAAACGGG